GGUCUGUGGCUCAGCGGUAGAGCACUUGCCUAGCAUGUGUGAGGCCCUGGGUUCGAUCCUCAGCACCA
rnacentral:tRNA from 1 species